GCUCCAUUUUGGAUGCCUGAGUGACUUGUUAGAACAAAGAACAAACAUCAAACCUGACAGGGGUACAUUCCUCCAAGGUUUCAAAAGAGGCAGAUUAGCAUGUACACAGUGAGUCCGCAUGACCCUGAUGUCUGAGAAGGAAACCUCGUCUUUGAAGGAGGACUAGCAUUGGUGCCAUAGGAGGAGGGGGACAUUUAUCAUUAUUUUCAAAGUGGACAUUCUAAACAAUCUGGUAAACGCAUUCUCUCUUUAAUGAUUAAAGCAGAUGUAUAAUGUAUGUUAGACAAGUCGUAAGACAGGCUGUUCUAGUUAGCGUAAUGUUCAAGCCAAAUCUUAUAUAAGCCAGAACGAUUUCCCCAUACCGCACUAUGUGAAAAUUUCUUCCAUCACAAAGAUGUGUAAGUGUAAUUUAGAUCUGAAGUCUAAGGGUUUUACUACAUGGCUAAUAUCUAUAUAUUUUUUCAAAUGAAAACAUUUAGUUCACCUUUCAUUUAAUAAAAAUCUGCCCCUUUGCCUCUCCUUCACACCUAAGAUUAUCUAUCUAUCCCUAUCUUCUCUCUCUCUCUCUCUGUAUCAUUUCUGGAAGCCAUAAGUAGGAUUUAAUGACCUCAUGACAAUUUCUGUGAAAAAUAUAUUGUGUGCAGAAAUAUUAAUGUAGAAGUAUAUAUUCACAAUGCACAGAUUUGACAAAUAAAUAUAUAGUCUAGAUGUGACUGGUUUUGAGAAGCAUCGUUUUUCUCUGAAAACUUUUGUAGGCUAGUGACAGAAUCUAACCUUUCUUUGAACUGCAACCUAUUUAAUCCACUUUAAAAAAAUGAUGUAAUAGAAUAGAAAAAAAUUGAAAUUUUGUGACUGAAAUUCUUUAAACAUCAAAUACAUUUAAAUGAUUUUGUUAAUUUCAUGUGUAUAAUAAGUAAUGCUUUUAUGAGAUGGAGGAAUCUGUGCUGUUUUACUCCUGGUCUUUCUUCAGAUUGACAUUGGGGUUGCAUGCAUAAAGCACCCACUUUGUCACCUGUGCAAAGGAGCUCGUCAGUGAAUUCUCUCUCUUCCCCUCCCCUCUCUCCCUUUCCCUCUCCUCUCUGCCCCUUCAGAGCUCUCUGUGAGCUCCAGAGUGCCACCUCCACCUCGGAGCAAGUGCAAGCCCAGUGCCCACUGUGGCCUCUUGCCACUGUUGUUUUCUACAAUUGAUUAGGACAUUCCACUAUGGUGGAUUCUCAAAAAUUAUUGCUGAUUAACUGAACAAUAUCAUAUCAUAUGAUGUCAUGAUCCUGCCCUCCCCAACCUUUUUUUGAGACUGAAGAGGUCUUUUAAACAUUAGGCCAUGGUGUCACGAAUUAUAUCACUGAACUGUUGAUAUGAGUUAGUUGUUGGAGUCACUGAAGUCCCUGGACUGAGACUGACCAUGUGCAGACAGGGAGCCUAGAGGAGCAGUUUAGGUACCUGGUAGGAUAAGAGGAGAAGAAAGAAGAAAAAUGGUAGCAGAGGAAGAGGGUAAGAAGAGAAUAGGAGGAACCUGGGGCAAGGCAUGCCCUUCAUGACCACAUUCAUGGGGCAGAAGUCCCCCUUCCCAGCUGUGCCUGCACACACCACACACACACACACACACACGCACACACACACACACACCCUGCUCAUGGACCCCUGCCAGCAUUAGUGCUGGUACUUACUUCCUACGCCAUGAUCAGGUCCAAAGAUUAUUGAGUUUGGAACUUUCUGUCUUGAAGGUUUUAAGGAACUUUCUUCCAGAUGAGAGGCUGACUGGUACCUCUCUCUACCCCAUAUUUCAUAACCAUUUCACCCAGGAGUUGUCUUAUUAGAAUCUAUGUAUGUUUUUUACAGCUCUUCUGCCAUCUGGCUGUGUGGUCUGGAAGUCACUUUUCUUUUCUGGGCCCUGGUUUCCUCAGUGGUGAAAGGAGUUUGCCCUUUGAUCUUGAAGGAACUUCUGGUUCCAACACUCUGUGUUUCUCUGAGGUCCCAUUUCAAGCAUGGUGUAAGAAUGUAAGGCAGGAUCAAAAUGUCCCAGCUUGCCCCUUUCCCUUCAGUUUACCUGUCUUGAACAGGUUAAUUAAUGCAAUGAACUGAUUUUUCCUAAGAACAUUGUGUGUGUGUAUGCAUACAUAUACAUGUAAACAUAUGAAUACAUACACAUAUAUAUGUACAUGCAAAUGUGUAGAUAUAUAUUCUACAAUAGUUUGAAAUUUUAGUAAUGGUGUUAAGUGGCUUAGAGGAAGAAUUUGGAUGUUGUCUAAAUAAAAAGAGACAAUAAAAGGAGAAAAAAGCCUGUUUUUUGACCUCUAAAAUUUUUGGACUGUCAGUUACAUUCUUAUUAUUGAGAUGGGUCUAGUGUAUGUAUAGAUGUGUGUUUGUUUUUAGUUUUAGCCUGUUAGGAAAACUGGAGAAAAAUGGUGCUCAUUACUCACUAGGAAACAUCUGUCCAUUUUUGUACUACAGUAUACAUAUUUUUAGAGGCAGUAUUUUAUAUUACACUUAGACUUCACCAAGCGAACCCAAGACACUGGGAGAUGGAGUCUGAUGCCUUGUAUGAAAUGGGCCGGGUGGCUGACUGUCAAAGGAAAACACAAGUUUGGUACAUAGCAGGAUUUACGUUCUUAUUAAAAAUGUGUUUGCCAAGAAUGUAGAUCGGAAGGGAAAUUCUUGGAAUUGUUACUUUUUUUUUUUUUUUUUACCUUUGGAAGGAAUGAAUAGAUAUGUGGUAUUAAUACAGUUUGGGUGUCCUUCCUUCCCAUUGCAGAGCUGCUGUCAGGAGAAGACAGCAGCGACUAAGAAAAACAGGCCAGGCCGGCCAGCAGCAGAAGGGCCCUUCCUCACAGGGAGCAGAGCCAUUUAGCUCCCUCUGAGCUCCCUCCUGCCCAUGAGCAGCCAGAGAGGGGAGGGACACAGGUGACAACUCUGGGCCUAAUGGCCCUCUCUCUGUUUUUAUUUCUCAGCUGGGGGUUGAAUGUUCUCAUUUUAUGGUCACUUGUCCUUUUCAGCUCUGAGGAAAGAGAGGUUUCUCCCUCCCCCAACUCUAUUAUAUAUAUUUCUUGUUUUUUUGUUCCAUAAAGAAAAGUAAAGCAAAACACUAAGAUUAUUUCUCUAAGGAGUUUCUUACAUUCAGAAAACCAUGCACGGAUGGAGCUGAGUGCUGUAUGAAGGGGUGCAGACCACUCCACUCCUGCCCAGAGUUUGGAGAGGCUGCCUAGGAUGCCUGCAGCCUGGGCGUGAGGGAGGUACGAAGACGGCUCAGGUAGGUACAGAAAGAUGAGUGUGAUGUGCCCAAGAAACAAGUAAAUAAUCCUGAAACCCUCGGAUACCUCCCUGUAUCAAUGAAAGAGUAGUUGGUUGGCACCCCCAUUCUUCUCUCCACUCACUCAUCUGUCCAAGGAUCUACUGAAUCAAUAUGCACUGAUGAAAUAACCCCAUUUUUCAGGUUAGAAAACUGAGACUGUAACGGGCUUGCUCAAGAUCGCAAGCUUGUAAGUGACAGAGCUAGUCAGUGUCAGAGCCAGAUUUGAACUGGGAAUUGUCUUACUCUGGAACUUCCCAUGAAGAGGUCAUUACACUAGAAAGUGAUCAAUGCAAGGAUGAGGCAUGCCUGGGGACUGAGGAGUCAGAGAAGAGGGAUUUGAUCCAGGUUUUGGGGGUCAAGAAAGGUAUUUUGGGCCUAGUGGUUCUUGAGUUUAACAUUAAAUUAUGGACCUGAAAAAGCAGAUUGAGGUACUGUUGGAGAUUCUAGGCAGAAAGAAUAAUUUGUGAGAACAAGUGUGUGUGAGGAAUUACAAGUGCUUUGGUGUUUCUGAAACAUCAAGGCAAGGAGGGGUGGGAGAUGAGCCUGGAGAGGUGAGGUGGGGCCAGAUCAUGGAAAAUCUUUUAGAGUCUACAAUGUAGACGAUGCCAAAUGAUGAGUUUGGACCUUUGCAGGACAUGGCAGGUGCAGUAGGGUGGGAAGGAGGGAAGAGAGGGGAGACCUGAUGACUAAUUGGGUGGAUAGAAGAAAUGAGAGAGAUGGAGAAGCUAUAGGACAUCUCUCUGGCUUCUAUCUUGGUGGCUGGGUGGAUGGGAAUGCCAACGAUUGAUACAGAGGAUUCAGGAGGAGAGCAGGGUUCAGAAGAAGGGUGCUGAGCAGUUUUAUUCUUCACCAGUCUAUAGUUAUAACCACAUUUUAUUAUUAACAUUUUUAUAGCAGGUUAAAAUGGUAAUGCACAGAUUUCAUACUUAGUAUGAUUUAUAGUUAUUAACUGUUAUAAUUUCAUAAAUAAGAAACAGCUUUCUUACCUAAGCAAAAUUAAAUAAUUUGCUACUAUCUCAAAAAAUAAAAGUUAAGUCAGCCAUAACUUUAUGGAUACUAAUCAUAAUAACAAAUACUACACAUGGUUCAGGUAUUAGUCUAUGGACUUUACCUACAUCAAUUCCAUUUAUCUUGCCUCUGGGGAUUUUAGUUUGAAACCUAAGUGGCACCACCCUGGCAUUCAUUCAUGUCCUGUUGUGGAUGGAGGGCUAGUGGUGUGGAUCUGCCAGCGGUGAGUUUGAACGUGGCACAAUCUCCAUGGCCCAGUGACUGAAACAGGAAGACAUCUUUGUGAAAAUAAAUCAGAGGAAGCUGUUUCACUCCAAGCAGCAUAAGAUGGAAUGUGAACUUUCUUCUUACGGUCUAGGUUUGUAUUCCAGUAAUGCAAUUAGAAGCUGUGUGACUCAUGAAUGUUCACAGCAGCAUUAUUCAUAAUAGCCCAAACUGGGAACAGCCUAAAUGUCCAUCAACUAAUGAAGAGAUAGACAAAAUUGGAAGAUGCUCCAUUGAAUACUACUCAGCAAUAAAAAGGAAGAAACUACUGACACCUGCUUGCUACUUCAUGGCUGAACCACAAACACAUUGUGCUAAGUGAUGGAAGCCAAACACAAACAACUACAUAUUGCUUGAUUCCAUUUCUACAAAAUGCCCAGAAAAUGAUUUUGUGAGGAAGGAUGUAGAGGAUGCUGUGUGUGCUGUCAAGAUCCCAUUCAGGACUGAAGGGCUUAUACCUCCAGCUGACCAAGGCUGGCGCCUUUCCUGGGAGAGCCUUCAGCCAAUGACUCAUCAACUCAAGGCUCAACAUUUUCAGCCAACUUGCUACAAUUCAGAAGACCACCCAGCCUCAGAGCUUCCUGUGGGGUCAGCAGAGGUCUACAUUGAGAAUUCACCCAGCCCAGCUUCUCCCUCUAUUUUAUUCUUCCCUUCUCUUCCACAGAUGUUGACCCCAAGAGUAUUCCUUAAUAAACCUUGUUCAUGCUAACCUCGAAAUCCAAGUCUGCUUCCCAGAGAGCCCAAACUGUGACAGAGGAGAUGUGAAUACACGUGUUUAGUCAGCCAGCUGGAAGGCUUUUUACAGUGCUUAUUUUGAGAUCAUGGGCCUUUUAAAAUAAGAUAAUUAAAUGUAUAAAUUCUUUCAACCCAGAAGGUGAGGUUCACUUUCCUCUCCAAUAUGAACUCUCUCCUCUUGGCUUUUGAUCAGAGACAUCAGACUCAGUUGGGUUCCCAACUUCUCCUUCACCCCACAGCUGGUGCUAUAUGACCUUUUUUUGUGAGCUCAGUCUCCCACUUCCCGGGGCCAAAUGGCUCUCAGUGGAAAACUAUUAACAGUUUAUCUUAAGUCAGGUUUUCUUGAAGCAGAUUGUACAUGAGGGUCUGUGUGUAAGUGCUUUGUUAAGAAGGUGUCCCUGGAAGAAGGGAGAAGGAGAAGCAGGGCAGGGCAGGGAAGGAAGCCAAGCAAGGCUGGGAUCUCAGGUAGAGUCCUUUGGAGGUGAUGGAGGUGGCGUGAUGGUUAACUUUAUGUGGCAACUUGACUGGCCACAGUGGGUCCAGAUUAAGCAUUAUUUCUGGGUGUACUUGUGAGGUUGUUUCUGGAUGAGGUUAGCAUUUGAAUCGGUGGACUCAGUAAAGAAUUUCCCCUCCCCAAGAUCAUGCAACUUGGGCAUCAUCCAAUCCACUGAGGGCCUGAAUAGAACAAAAGGCAGAAAGAGGAGGAAUUCAUUCCUUUUUCCCUGCCUCACUGCUUGAGCUGGGACAUCUCCUCUCAUCUGUUCUGCCCUGAGACUGGGAUUUAUACCACCAUUUCCCCUGGUUCUCAGGCAGGCCUUCAGACCCAGACUGAAUUACACCACUGGAUUUCCUGGGUUUCCAACUUGUAGAUGGCAGAUUGUGGGGCUUCUCAGCCUUCAUAAUCAAAUGAUCCAAAUUAUCAUUUUCUAUCUAUCAUCUAUCUAGCUAUAUAGCUAUCUAGCUAUCUAUCUAGCUAUCUAGCUAGCUAGCUAGCUAGCUAGCUAUCCUAUUGGUUCUGUUUCUCUGGAGAAUUCUGACUAAUAUGGGUAGCUUUGCCUGAUCCGCAAAAGAACUCUGGGAUAUACCUUAUACCUCAGAAUUUUCCUACCUGAGGCAGAAGAGUUGGGCUUUUGUACCCUUGCACCCACUAUUCAGAUUGAUUGACAAUGACUCCCUGUGGUGGGGCUGUGAGCUGAGGUAUAAAUGCCAGGCCCUCCUGGCUCUCUGCCCAUGCAGGGAAAGCCACUCCAGUACCAUGAGGGUUGUCAUCUGAAGAACACACAUGAGUGCUGGUCAUUGGGAGCCAAAGCACACAGAAUCUAGUGAAGGGACAUUCAAAAAUGGUGGGAAGGGUCUGAAGUGGUCUGGGUGGAUCAAUGACAUUGUUUUCUGCAUAGUUCUAUCACCAGCAUCCUCGUCAGUCUGGCCUUGGUGCUAGGCUCCAAUUUUGAUAGUAUUCUGUCUCUGGCAUAGUAGAACUUGUAGAAUAUUUAAUUUUGUGUGGGACUGUAUUCCAGUGACUCUGUUUGGUUGAGUUAAUUGCAAAAUUCUCCAUUAAAUAAUGAAAUGAGUUAACCUUUUUAUAGAGUUGCUCUGUAUUUGCUAUCAAAAUGCUGAAGAGUGUUUGUGAAAAGCAGCAAUCCUAGUGUUGGUCUAAUUGAUAUUGAGCUGUUCCUCAUGUUAGUAAUUGCCCCAAAAGCUUAGUGGCUCCUUGAAGCCAUUCUCAGAAUGAUAAUAGGAUUAUGUUAGCAGCAUAAAGGAAGAGGCUAUGACAGGAGGUCAUGUAUCCAAGUUAUCAAAAAAUGUAUCAAAUGGUUUGGGUAAAAAUUAAAGAGCAGGCAGGCUAGGACAUUUGUGCUGUUUGGAGCUGAAUCUGCUCUGUCAGGAGCCCAUUUCCCAUCCAUUUUGAUCCACCCUUUUUGAUAUUACAGUAAAGGCUCUGAAGGACCAUUAAAAACCCAGGAACAAUAUCAAGAUCAUGCAACCUGACCCAAAAAAUGGCUGACAAUAGAGUAAUAAAUGCCACAAGUCUCAAAUUUUAACCAUUUUCUCUAAUAGAAGAAAUAGAAUGUAGUAAUAGUGCAUAAUAGAUUAGAAUGUAGUAAUAGUACAUAAUAGAAAAGCUAUCUCUAAGCAUUUGUGCUCUUCCUAUAGGAUAUUAUAUUGAGACAUCCAGACAUGCAGUGUGGAAGAGCAAGGUGGUGCUGAUUUUUGAAAGGAUAUUCUGAAAAUUCCUGGGUGUUUUCAGACCUGAGCCAGUUUUCAGACCCAGAACCCAGUGCCUGAAGACGUGGCUGGGU